UGAUCUAUCGGUAGUUCUUUUUCUUCUCCUCUCUUCACCUCAUGCCACUGCAACCAUUGUGUUUCGACCUUGAAGCCAUCUAGGGAGAUCUUCAGCCACCAUCUCAGUUGCAAUUUCCCUCUUCAUUUGCAGCUUGGAUCUUCACUCUAUAAGGCUGGAACUUUGGCUUAAAUUCCAUUCUCUAGAAGACAAGUUCAGUUAGGUUUGUAACGAGGUGAGGGGAAGGUAGAAACAAGCAUAGUUCGUGCAACCUACUGCUUGAAAAGGCAUUUUCCUAUUAUUGAUGAAACUAUAAGAAAGGCAAGGAAGAUAGUGAAGUUCAUCUAUAACCAUGCUUUGGUUUUGGCAUUGAUGAGAAGAGAUUUCACCAAAGGUCGUGAUUUCUGUCGUCCUACAAUCAUAAGAAACAUAAAAAAGGGAAUAGAUGUUUUGGAUCCAAUCAACCUUGAAAACAUUGACUUGAUGGAUUGGGCAAGUUUUGAGGAGCCAUUGGACUCACUAAAUGUAGAAAACAAUGAUAAUGUUAGUCUUGAUGUUGAUGAUGGUGGUGACGUUGGCAAAAAUAUUUUGAUUAACAUUUCGAAUGUCAAUCCUUAUUUAUGA